rnacentral:rRNA from 1 species
CCUACGGGAGGCAGCAGUGGGGAAUAUUGCACAAUGGGGGAAACCCUGAUGCAGCGACGCCGCGUGAGUGAAGAAGUAUUUCGGUAUGUAAAGCUCUAUCAGCAGGGAAGAAAAUGACGGUACCUGACUAAGAAGCACCGGCUAAAUACGUGCCAGCAGCCGCGGUAAUAAU